CCCGCCUUGCCCCCUGGACGCGCUCUGCUGACUCAAUCUGGCUUUGCUCGGAGGGGCUGGAGCGAGGGGGUUUGGUGAAGCCCUUGUUUUUUCCUCCGCCCAGCUGGCGUCAGGCACUGAGGAUGCGGAGAGAAGUGCUCCUGACUAGGGGAGGCUUGGCAGGAGGAUUUCCUGUCAGGCUCGCAGCAUCCCUUUAUCUGCUGCCUGCCAGAGACAGGCUUUGUGCUGGAGCGUGGGGAGCGGAGCCCGCAGGUGAACUCUGACUGGAUCAGACUUGCUUGUUUUAAACGUCUGUCCCUCUCCUGGCGCUGAGGUGUUGGGUGACAGGCUGGAAAAUCCUGUUAGGUGCUGCUGGAGGCUGUGGGGUGCCUUCUGCUUUGGAAAACUGGGGAAGUCUGAGUAGCCACGAGAAGAGCAAGUGAGGAAUCUUUCACCAGUAGAGCAAGUGGGGAAUUUUCACUGCAAGAGCAACAGGGGAUCCUGUGCCAGAAGAGCAAGUUGAGAUCCUUCAGCAGAAGAGCAGGUGGGGAUCCUUUGCCAGAAGAGCAGGUGGGGAUCUUUCACCAGAAGAUCCUUUUCUAGAAGAGCAAGUGGGGAUCCUCUCCCCAUCUUGUGCUGCUCUCUACACACCAUAAGAAGAGACCCGUGGGAAAUUGCUCUGAGCAGCUGACUUCUUGGGGCUUCUCAUCAUCUUCUCGUUCAGACAGCAUCCCCUCGCCUGGCAAGGGCCGCCACAGGCACCCUG